rnacentral:rRNA from 1 species
GUGGGGAAUCUUGCGCAAUGGGCGAAAGCCUGACGCAGCCAUGCCGCGUGAAUGAUGAAGGUCUUAGGAUUGUAAAAUUCUUUCACCGGGGACGAUAAUGACGGUACCCGGAGAAGAAGCUCCGGCUAACUUCGUGCCAGCAGCCGCGGUAAUACGAAGGGGGCUAGCGUUGCUCGGAAUUACUGGGCGUAAAGGGCGCGUAGGCGGACAGCUUAGUCAGAGGUGAAAGCCCAGGGCUCAACCUUGGAAUUGCCUUUGAUACUGGCUGUCUUGAGUUUGGGAGAGGUGAGUGGAACUCCGAGUGUAGAGGUGAAAUUCGUAGAUAUUCGGAAGAACACCAGUGGCGAAGGCGACCUCCUGGCACAAUACUGACGCUCAUGUGCGAAAGCUAGGGUAGCGAACGGGAUUAGAAACCCCAGUAGUCC